rnacentral:rRNA from 1 species
AAGAUUAAGCCAUGCACGUCUCAGUAUUAGUUUCCACAUUGCGAAACUGUGAACGGCUCAUUAAAACAGCUAUUGCAUGCAUGAUCGUAUCUUCACCUGGUUAGCCGUGGCAACUCUAGAGCUAAUACAUGUACGAAACCCAACUUUGCGGACAGGGUGUUGUUUAUUAGCUGUCGAACCAGCCCAGGUUAUCCUUGGCCUUUUUUCUGAUUAGUUGUAACUGAAUGAAUCGCAUGGUGUCAGCUGGUGAUGCCUCAUUCAAGUAUYUGACCUAUCAGCUUCCGACGGUCAGGUAUUGGCUUACCUCGGCGAUGACGGGUAACGGAAAAUCAGGGUUUGACUCCGGAGAGGGAGCCCGAGAAACGGCAACCACAUCUAAGGAAGGCAGCAGGCACGCAAAUUACCCAAUCCUGGAACAGGGAGGUAGUGACAAGAAAUCACAAUACAAGGCACCAAUGUCUUGCAAUUGGAAUGAAUGAAACCCACACCCUUUUCAUGAGCACCCAUUGGAGGGCAAGUCUGGUGCCAGCAGCCGNGGUAAUUCCAGCUUCAAUAGUGUAUAUUAAAGUUGUUGYGGUUAAAAAGCUCGUAGUUGAGAAGCUGCCAACACAGACUUGUCCACUUUUUGGGUGAGCACCUAGUUUGCUGGGGCACAUUAUUGGAGAACCAUGUCUGCACUUGACUGUGCGGUGUGGUGCCCAAAACGUUUACUUUGAGGAACGUAGCGUGUUUCAUGCAGGCGAAUGCCUUGAAUUUUCCAGCAUGGGAUAAUGAGGUCAAGCGUCUGCUCCAUCCUGCUGGUUCCUGAAGCAGUUGCAGUGAUGAACAGGGAUACUUGGGGGCAUACAAAUUCAACUGUCAGAGGUGAAAUUCUUGGAUUUGUUGACGAUGACCUUCUGUGAAAGCAUUUGCCAUGCAUGUUUUCAUUGAUCAAGAAUGAAAGUUAGGGGAUCGAAGAUGAUUAGAUACCGUCUUAGUCUUAACCAUAAACUAUGCCAACUUGAGAUUGGAGGCUGUUUUGUUUUGCAACGACUUCUGCAGAACCUUAUGAGAAGUCAAAGUCUUUGGGCUCUGGGGGGAGUAUGGUUGCAAGGCUGAAACUUAAAGGAAUUGACGGAAGGGCACCACCAGAAGUGGAGCCUGCGGCUUAAUUUGACUCAACACGGGGAACCUUACCAGGCCCAGACACAGCAAGGAUUGACAGUUUGAUGGCUCCUUCUUGAUUAUGUGGGUGGUGGUGCAUGGCUGUUCUUAGUUGGUGGAGUGAUUUGUCUGGUUAAUUCCGUUAACGAACGAGACCUCAACCUGCUAAAUCGUUUCAUGUGGCUUCUGUUGCAGGGUCGCUUCUUAGAGGGACUGUUCGUGCCUAGCGAGAGGAAGUUUGGGGCAAUAACAGGUCUGUGAUGCCCUUAGAUGUUCUGGGCUGCACGCGCGCUACACUGAUGCAUAUAAAAAGUUACAGCUUUGCUUGACAUUGCAGGCUAAUCUUUGAAAGUGCAUCAUGGUGGGAACUGAUUCUUGCAACUAUUACUCUUCAACCAGGAAUUCCUAGUAGGAGCGAGUCAUCAGCUUGUACUGAUUAUGUCCCUGCCCUUUGUACACACCGCCCGUCGCUCCUACUGAUUGAGUGGUCCGGUAAAUAAUUUGGAUUGCGGCAGUGUUCAUUUCGCGAGCGCGGCUGUACAAAGUUUGGUGAACCUUAUCACUUAGAGGAAGGAGAAGUCGUAACAGGGUUUUCCG